rnacentral:lncRNA from 1 species
UUUCAUUCAACCAUUAAUAUUCAUUCCAUAUAUAAAUCAUGAAAGCCAAUUUCUAUUCAACCAAAAUUUCCAACUCAACCAUAAAUACAACAUAUGUCUCCAUAAGCCAUGUUAAUAAAAAAUUACAUGAAGCUUGGCCAAGUCUCUAAAACAGUACAUAAGGGGGGACAAAUGAUUUGAAGACAUGAAUUUUUUAGAAGCAUAAAGAGCUAAGUUAUAAUGCAAGUUUGGAGUUCUACAUAAGUUUUUAAAAGAAAUACAAUGAACAUUGCCUCAUACUCCUUUCCUUCUUCUUGCUUCUUCAAUCAACAAUGUCGUCUUUCAUCUCUUUUGAUCAAAGUGUCUCAAAGAUGUGAUAACUGGACAACAAUCUUCUCACCCGAAAGACCAUGAAUCGAUCAAUGUCUCCCCGAUAAUCGGCAGCUCAAAACGUCGAUGCUCCAAAACAUGGACUUUGCGGAUUUUCUAAUAGUUAGACACGCCCUGCUACUAAUCAAAAUUUACAAAAAAUAGUUUGAAUUGCAUAGCAUUCCCUCGACACGUACUACAGAAUGGUACCAACACAUUGAGCUUGAUAAUAGAAAAGUUCACGCAAAUAAGUUUCACCUGCAUAAUAUCAUAGCAGGACAAAUGUGGUCCAACUGGAAAACAUACCUGCAUACUUUUCAGUAGAACUAACUUCAGUAUACACUAACUAACCGAAAUGCAUCUCGUUCAAUUUCAUUAUUUCAAAUUUCUAACACAACUUUCACCUGUAACUAACUAUUAAUUUCAUGUGAAUCUCAAUUGAAUUUCAUAAUCGUUUUCUGUUCCUAUAAAUAAGCUUCAUUAACGCAUCAAAGAAAAAGAUAACGUGCACAUCAAUUGCAAAAGCUUCAUUCACACAACAAAACACACUGUCACACAACGCAUCACAGACUGCAAUUCUUAUAGUUUCAUAACGAUCGGAGGAGGAAGAAGAGAAGCAAAUCCGGGAUCGAUUCAUACUUGUUCAUGAUUAAAGCUCCAAGUAUGGUAAGCUUCUAGAUUUCAAUUUCGUUUUCUGUUUAUUUUUCGCGCGCACGAUUAUAUCAGCUUGAGUAUUGAUGUCGAUUCUGAACUGUGAACCAUGGAGGUGGAGUCUAUGUUCUUCACUCGAUGCAUCGUAAUCUGAAGAAGAAAAGUUGCGGAUGAAUAUAGUUGAAACGCGAAUCCGGAAGAGUGAAGUCGCGAAUCGAGUCGCCAAGGCAACUUAUUUACAUAAGUAUUUUUCGUUUUCUUUAUUUGCGUUUGUUGAACAUCAGAAGUGCUGCGUGUCGAACCGUGGAUGUGAUUUGGAAGUUGAAAACGCGUUGCACAAACUUCCUGGAGAAGUGUUUCUUGUAUCAUUUUCGGCCUCCGAACAUCUCGGAGAAAAGGGAAAAGUCUUUCUUGCUUGGGAUGUUUGGACUCGGGAUUGGGCCUCAGGCCCAAACGAAUUGCUCAAUGCA